rnacentral:rRNA from 1 species
GAUGAACGCUGGCGGCGUGCUUAACACAUGCAAGUCGAACGAAACACCUUAUUUGAUUUUCUUCGGAACUGAAGAUUUGGUGAUUGAGUGGCGGACGGGUGAGUAACGCGUGGGUAACCUACCCUGUACAGGGGGAUAACAGUCAGAAAUGACUGCUAAUACCGCAUAAGACCACAGCACCGCAUGGUGCAGGGGUAAAAACUCCGGUGGUACAGGAUGGACCCGCGUCUGAUUAGCUGGUUGGUGAGGUAACGGCUCACCAAGGCGACGAUCAGUAGCCGGCUUGAGAGAGUGAACGGCCACAUUGGGACUGAGACACGGCCCAAACUCCUACGGGAGGCAGCAGUGGGGAAUAUUGCACAAUGGGGGAAACCCUGAUGCAGCGACGCCGCGUGAGUGAAGAAGUAUCUCGGUAUGUAAAGCUCUAUCAGCAGGGAAGAAAAUGACGGUACCUGACUAAGAAGCCCCGGCUAACUACGUGCCAGCAGCCGCGGUAAUACGUAGGGGGCAAGCGUUAUCCGGAAUUACUGGGUGUAAAGGGUGCGUAGGUGGUAUGGCAAGUCAGAAGUGAAAACCCAGGGCUUAACUCUGGGACUGCUUUUGAAACUGUCAGACUGGAGUGCAGGAGAGGUAAGCGGAAUUCCUAGUGUAGCGGUGAAAUGCGUAGAUAUUAGGAGGAACAUCAGUGGCGAAGGCGGCUUACUGGACUGAAACUGAC